UUCAGACCUUGGUGAGUGGCGGACGGGUGAGUAACACGUGGGUAACCUGCCCAAAAGUGGGGGAUAACAUCUGGAAACAGGUGCUAAUACCGCAUAACAACUACUUUCUCAUGAUCGUAGCUUGAAAGAUGGCUCUGCUAUCGCUUUUGGAUGGACCCGCGGCGUAUUAGCUAGUUGGUGAGGUAAUAGCUCACCAAGGCAAUGAUACGUAGCCGACCUGAGAGGGUAAUCGGCCACAUUGGGACUGAGACACGGCCCAAACUCCUACGGGAGGCAGCAGUAGGGAAUCUUCCACAAUGGGCGAAAGCCUGAUGGAGCAAUGCCGCGUGAGUGAAGAAGGUUUUCGGAUCGUAAAACUCUGUUGUUGAAGAAGAACAUGCGUGAGAGUAACUGUUCACGUACUGACGGUAUUCAACCAGAAAGCCACGGCUAACUACGUGCCAGCAGCCGCGGUAAUACGUAGGUGGCAAGCGUUGUCCGGAUUUAUUGGGCGUAAAGAGAAUGUAGGCGGUUUAUUAAGUUUGAAGUGAAAGCCCUCGGCUCAACCGAGGAAGUGCUUCGAAAACUGGUAAACUUGAGUGCAGAAGAGGAAAGUGGAACUCCAUGUGUAGCGGUGGAAUGCGUAGAUAUAUGGAAGAACACCAGUGGCGAAGGCGGCUUUCUGGUCUGUAACUGACGCUGAGAUUCGAAAGCACGGCUAACUACGUGCCAGCAGCCGCGGUAAUACGUAGGUGGCAAGCGUUGUCCGGGAUUUAUUGGGCGUAAAGAGAAUGUAGGCGGUUUAUUAAGUUUGAAGUGAAAGCCCUCGGCUCAACCGAGGAAGUGCUUCGAAAACUGGUAAACUUGAGUGCAGAAGAGGAAAGUGGAACUCCAUGUGUAGCGGUGGAAUGCGUAGAUAUAUGGAAGAACACCAGUGGCGAAGGCGGCUUUCUGGUCUGUAACUGACGCUGAGAUUCGAAAGCAUGGGUAGCAAACAGGAUUAGAUACCCUGGUAGUCCAUGCCGUAAACGAUGAGUGCUAAGUGUUGGAGGGUUUCCGCCCUUCAGUGCUGCAGCUAACGCAUUAAGCACUCCGCCUGGGGAGUACGAUCGCAAGAUUGAAACUCAAAGGAAUUGACGGGGGCCCGCACAAGCGGUGGAGCAUGUGGUUUAAUUCGAAGCAACGCGAAGAACCUUACCAGGUCUUGACAUACCAUGAAAAGCUAAGAGAUUAGUCUUUCCCUUCGGGGACAUGGAUACAGGUGGUGCAUGGUUGUCGUCAGCUCGUGUCGUGAGAUGUUGGGUUAAGUCCCGCAACGAGCGCAACCCUUAUUAUCAGUUGCCAGCAUUCAGUUGGGCACUCUGGUGAGACUGCCGGUGACAAACCGGAGGAAGGUGGGGACGACGUCAAAUCAUCAUGCCCCUUAUGACCUGGGCUACACACGUGCUACAAUGGUCGGUACAACGUGCUGCGAACUCGCGAGGGUAAGCAAAUCACUUAAAACCGAUCUCAGUUCGGAUUGUAGGCUGCAACUCGCCUACAUGAAGCUGGAAUCGCUAGUAAUCGCGGAUCAGCAUGCCGCGGUGAAUACGUUCCCGGGCCUUGUACACACCGCCCGUCACACCAUGAGAGUUUGUAACACCCAAAGUCGGUGGGGUAACCCUUCGGGGAACUAGCCGCCUAAGGUGGGACAAAUGAUUAGGGUGAAGUCGUAUCAAG
rnacentral:rRNA from 1 species